GUGAAAGGCGCGGCGGGGACCUGCACGCAUGCGUACUGCGCGCGCCCUCAAACGCAGCCAGGCCGCCUAGCAACCCGGUUUCCAGCCAGUGUCUCGCCGGAACAAGUGGCCUUCCCUGGAGUUCUGUUCCCACCAGCUGGUCUCGGCUCUUCCCUAUCAUUUCCCCUUCUCCCCUCUACUGGUUCCAAUUUCGCCCACGGUGUGCGUCCCAAAACGCUGAACCGGCUCCUAAAAUGAGUACUCGUGGUUUCCGCGUGGGAACCCACCUCUGGGGCCUCUGGCCCGCCCUCCGCUGGCUUAGGUGGCUGCUGGGGCUGGGGCUGCUCCUGGGGCUUCAGGCCGCCCUCUGCGUGGCUUUCUAUCUCCCGGGGUUGGCUCCCGUCAACUUCUGCGAGGCGGACCAAGAGACUGCCACCUGCAAGUCUCUGCAAACAGCAAGUUAAUUUGUACCUCUCAGACUUGCGAGAAUAAAAUGAGACAACGUAUGACAAGCACUGACAAAAACACUUGGCACAUGUCAUCUGUAGCACUAUUUGUAAAUAGUCUGGACUCAGUGGAACCUGCUGUCUUAUGAAUAUAAUAUUUUUAACAAGACAGAAACAUGUUCAAAAGUUUGUGUAAAAUUUUAUGAUAUAGCAAGUGAAGAUCGAAAGAAAAGGCUGGAUUUUUUGAAGAAAGGAACACAGCUGAAUUAUCAACGUCACUGUUUGAAUUCAACAGAAGCAAUACUUUCUACCUCUUCGACCACACUGAUAUUACCGUUACAUAUCCUGGGGAAAGUGAAACAAAUUGGGCUAUUGCAAGUUUGGUUACUGCUUGACUUGAUCUCAAAAGAAGGUGUGAAAAAAGGAUCUACGAUGAGUUGCUUUUGAUAGUACUCGGUUAAACAACGUGAAAACGAUGGCUUUAGGAGUAUUGACUGUGUUAAAAAGCGUCGUGAAUUUCCAGAAGGUCCGUAUUAUAAAGGAUGUUCGAAUUGUUGAUGUCUGAGUGUUGGGAAAACCGCUCACAGGGACGAUGUAGCACCCGACAGAUUCCUUGCUAAUUGCCAGUGGGAAAAUAGAAAAACAAGAAAACAAACAUAUCAAGUGGGAUUCUAGAUGGGAUUACAUUUUGGAGUCUAUGCCUCAUCCCCACAUCCAGUGGCUUAGUAUUUCAGAUAUUUGUUGCUUCAAGUUCAAGACUCAGAUGAAUCCGAAAUGGAAUAACUUGGGCAACAAAGGACCAUGUGCAAACGUCGUUAUGCUGGAUUGUAACAGAAGGGCUACUGCGUGCAAGAACUCAUGAGUAACCAUCUACUCUCCUCUCCAUUAUUGAGUUACUCAUUCGACAUGUUUAUUGUGUUUUUUGUUUUGUUUUUGCUUCUUCCUAUAUUUAAUGCAUUAUGCUAGGCACGGGAGAGGAAAUAAAUGUAAAUCUCCCCUGAAACUGCCUUCGUGGCUUAAGAUGAAUAAUAAUGGCCCAUUUUUCAUCAGACAGAUGUUCCAUCUUAUUGUAAAAAGAAGUUACGUCAUUGAAAUAGAAAAUGUAAAAGAAUUAGAAUAUGCUCUGUCACCAAGCUUGAUGAGCCAAAUUGAACAAUUAACGUCUGAAAAGCAUUGGCAUUGGCAAUGCAGUGUGAGUUGUUUUUAUCGUGUUUUCUAUGGGAUCAAUUUUGUAGAAUGUUUUACACAGAAAAAUUUAAAAAUUAAAGUAGUAGUCCGUGACACCCUGGCUCAGGGCUACAUGGACUAUGAAAUGAUACAGUGUCAAAUGACAGUUUUGUGAAAAUAAUUCAAAAACAUUUGUUGUGAGCCACACAGGAAGUCCAGUUUUUUUUUUUCUUUUUAAUUUGAAAAGCCACCGUUAACAGCCUGUCUCCUGGGUGGGUUGCUGGGUGGUUGGGGGACAGGAGCGUGAAGGAGACUAUUUUAUACGUACUUUUCACUGUCUCUCUCUGUUUCUUUUUUACUUUUCACAUUAUAUACCUUGUGCAUGUUUUACCUAUUUUUAUUCUAUUUUAUUUUAUUUUUGCUUUUUUUAGGGCUGCACCCGUGGCAUAUGGAGGUUCCCGGGCUAGGGGUCAAAUUAGAGCUAAAUCUGCCGACCUGCUCCACAGCCACAGCGAUGCUGGAUACUUAACCCACUGAGGGGAGCCAGGGAUUGAACCUCGUGGAUACUAGUCUGGUUCUUUACUGCUGAGCCAGAAGAGGAACUCCUACCUAUUUUUAAAUAAUUUCAUUAUAAACAACAGUAAGAACAACUCAUAACCACAUGUUGAAGUGGAGAGGUAGCAUUAGAGGCUGUCAGCACAGGCUUUAGAGUCACACACACACACACACACACACACACACCUUACAAUCUUUACAUAUUGGGGUUCAUUUUCCAGUUCUGCCUCUUUCUAAUUAAUGAGGCCUUGAGCAGGUUGUGAAUAAUGCUGCAGUGAACAUGCGAGUGCAGCUAUCCUUCUGAGAUCCUCUUUUCCUCUCCUUUGGGUGUAUAUACCCAGAAGUGGGAUUGCUGAAUCAUGUGGUAAUUUUAUGUAAACAUUUUUUUGGAAGCUCCAUACUGUUUUCCAUAGUGCCUGUACCAAUUUAGAGUCCCACUAGCAGUGCACAAAGGUUCCUUCUUCUCCACAUUCUUGCCAACACUUGUUAUCUGCUGUCUUUUUGGUGAUGGACAUUCUCAUAGGUGUGAGGCGAUAUCUCAUUGCAGUUUUGAUUUGCAUGUCCCUGAUGACUAGUGAUACAGAGGACCUUUUCAGGGUCUGUCCUUUCCCCAUUGAGUAUUCUUGGCUCCCUUGUCAAAUAUUAGUUGACCAUAAAUGCAGGGCUUUAUUUCUGGGCUCUUGAUCCUGUUCUAUAGGUCUGUAUCUAGUUUUAUAUCAGCCCCAUACUAUUUUGAUUACUGUGGCUUUGUAGUAUAGUUUGAAAUCAGGACACGUGACACCUCCAGCUUUAUUUUUCUAUCUCAAGAUUGCUUUGGCUAUUUGGGGUCUUUUUUAGUUCCAUGUAAAUUUUAGGGUAGCUUUUUCUAUCUCUGUGAAAAAUACCAUUGGAAUUUCUCAGCUGCUAAUCUACUGAUCUAAUUUCUGUCUCUAUGGACUUGCGUAUUCUGGACAUUUCAUAUAAAUGGAAUCAUAAAAAAAUAUGACCUCUUGUGUCUGACGUCUUUCACUUAGAAUAUGUUUUCAUAGUUCAUCCAUGUUAUAGCGUGUAUCACUACUUAGUUCCUUUUAUGAUUGAGCAAUAUUCCAUCGUAUGAAUAUACCACUUUUUAUCUAUUUAUUGGUUGAUGGACAUUUGGGCUGUAUUCACCUUUUGGAUAAUGUGAAUAAUGUUGCUGUGAACAUUUGUAUGUGAUGUUUUGAGUGAACGUAUGCUUCCAAUUCUACUGGCUAGAUACUAGGUGUAUACCUGGGAAUGGAAUGGCUGGGUCAUACGAUUGCUGUGCUUACUAUUUUGAGAGACUGCCUGCCUGUUUUCAAAAGUUGCUGUACCAUUUUACAUUCUCACCAGCAAUGUAGGAGGGUUCUAGUUUCUCCACAGGCUUGCCAGCACUUGAUAUUAUCUCUGUUUUUGAUUAUUUAUCCAUCCUAAUUGUUACAAAGUGGUAUUUUAUUGCAUAUUUAAUUUCAUAUUUAAUUUACAUGUUUUAAUGAGUAACGAUAUUGAGCAUCUUUUCAUGUGCUUAUUGGUUAUUUGCCUAUCUUCUUUAGAAAUAUGUCUAUUCAAAUCCUUUGCCCAUUUCUAAAUUGGACUGUUUUUCUUUUUAUUGCUGAGUUGUAAGAAAUAUAAGAGUUCCUCAUAUAUUCUGGUUACUAGAUGCUUCUCAGAUAUAUGAUUUAUAAAUAUUUUCUUCC
rnacentral:lncRNA from 1 species